rnacentral:lncRNA from 1 species
AGAGCAAGCCCGGCCGUGAGGGCAGGAGGGGCCGGGGCGGCCGAGGCCCUGCCCGGGGCGUCCCCUGGCCUUGGGGGGGACGGGAGCCGGGCUGCCCACAGAGGGAGCCCGGGGAAUGGUCUGAUCGGUGAACCGGAGGGUCUCGCAGGAAGUCUUAGUAGGGGAAUGUUGUAAUUGAAAGCUAAUUGCCCUUCAUCCAGUUCUUCAUCCAAUCCACCAUUUUCCUGCUCAUCCCAUUUAUAUUUCUGGCAAGAACAAAGCAAGCUGUCACAAACAGAAGGAUGUUCAUGGACACUGCCUAGACCUUCACCACAACAAAAGGAAACACAAUCCUUAUUACCUCUGGAGCAUGUU